ACGCUUGUCACGCCGGAACGUCGCGGUCGAGAACUCAUUAGAAACGACCAUGUUCAACGGCGAUUUGCGACACCAAGGCGUGUAUUCGUUAUCCUACUCUGAUCGGCUAACCUGUGGUUGCGUGAAGUCGGACAAUAUGCCACCAGAAGUUUGCGCAAGGUGUCGUUAACUUCACUGCUUCGAGUCACCAUUGGGUCGGAGCUUUCCCGCCAAGCUGACCAGCGAACAAGUUUUGUGGAUUUCGCUACCAGGAAGCACCGCCCAAAAGCAGUGCUACAAGGAUGUGAGCCACAGGUUCUUUUCAACGAACGAAUCAGAUGCCUGAGAGCCACGGGCCGGCUGCUUCUGGCCUAUACAGACAGUGCAGCCACCACAGUAAAGUUCUUGCAAAGACAUUCUACAAAAGCUGGCCCAAGGGAGGACGGAAGACAGUACAGAUGGACACACAGAAGCAAUCGGGCUGCCUUAGAAACUAUGACUGAGCAUUAACCUACAUUUAGAAAGGAGCCAAGUGGAGCUGUUCAUGGGUCAUGUACACUGUUUCAUAAGCGGGCUUUUAGCACUUUUUACAAUUAUGUUUCUGAAUACAUCUGCCAAAGUUGUGUUCAAAGAAGCGUGUAGUAGUGUAUUCAAUUAUUAAUUUGGCAUGCUGCAGCAGGUAUGACUCACACAUCUGCAAAAUAACGCAGCACAGUGCGCACACACAAACUACCCCCACAUACACUCUGGAUUUGUGGCUUAACUGUAAAUUGUUUACUCUGGCCUUGCACAACAAUUAAUAAGAAAAUGACAUGAAAGCUUUACCAUCUAUGCAGGUAGCGUUCUCAGUAUAUGCUGGCAAUAAGUGUGCAAAGUUCAAUCAGUUCACUGGUCACAUAUUUUCUUGUAAACAUUUAUAGAUAGAAGGCCGGGGUUGCUGGAAGCUGAUACAUGGUAACGAAUGGACCGCGACUCGAAAAGUUUUCUGUUUUCUCACAUUUGUACACGAGGUGGCGUAGUCAAACUGUUCAGGCAGCAGCUAUCUCUUGUCACUCAGCAGCGUUCAACAAGCUCUGUGUCAGAACAUGUUGCAUUGAAAACGUAAGCAACAUCCUUUUUACGUUCUUGAAGUUUCGGUGACCUUUUUUCAUUUCUUUUGCCCACGGAAGUUGUGUUACAAUCUUUGAAUUACACUUUACCGAUGACUUCACUCAAACAUUCAGAGCUUUUCGGUAUACCUUGGGCUAGACGUUCACGGACCACACACCUGCGCAUGAUCGGAGGAAGGUCUCCUACAAAGUACACUGGGGUAUUGCAACACCACUCCUAUUGGUAAAAUGGGCAGAAAGAGUUCAGAGGUUUAAAGACUGCAAAGGGGGGAUGCUGCUAUUGCCCCCGGUGCAGCUUGUUUCAAGACUGAGUUUAACUGCUUGAUGACAAGGUAUAGCUUCUAUAUAAACAGUGCUUGAAAGUGGCUUGGCGACAGAUCUGGGGGGCGGGGGACUUGGAAUAUUGAUUUAUUUAUUGUCAACCAUUAACUUCCAAGAACAACAUGUUCUCGAGGAUGUAUACUGCUGAAGAACUGGUCAACCUCCACUGAUUUGUUGCCAACAUAUGCUCACGGCUACCUGCAUAGGAGUUAAUACUUAUAUGCAACUUUAUUAAUUGCAAGUCCAAGUAAACUUUUUACACUCAUUAAUUCACACGUCGUUUGGAACAUUUUUGCAUGUACAGAUUGGCUGAACAAAAAGAAAUCAGCAAAUUGGGGGAAGGGAAGAUGUCAUGUGAACUUAGCACGGGUAAAUUUUUGGCCUUGUUGGUGUAACAUUUUCAUAAAGUUCAGCGUAGCUCUUCAAAUCACAAGGAUAGGACAGGCGUGUGUAUGUUCCGCCUGUCCCAUCUUCAUAAUUUUAGUGCCGUGAUUCACAUGUGCUCUUUGUGCCUUUGUUUGCUGCACACUCCAUUCUUGUGUUCAUUGUGUAGAGUUUUGUUCAACUAGACUCCUGUUCAAUUUGGUGUUGUGUACAUAACAAACAGGUACAUUAGGGAGCUAGCCAUGAAUGAUUGCAUUCAUUCCACAAAAUCAUGCUACCUAUGCAAAACAUAUAGUACGUUGUAAUCAUUCUAUGAACCCUGUGUUGAAUUGCAGAUGAAGAUGUGUCCAGAAACUAAAUUAACAGUGUGUCCAGCCAACAAAACUCUCCGUCAAACAACACAAAUAACUCACACUCACAGGCAGGCAUAACAUAAAUGAAAUUCUUCAUUGCUAUAUUUUGCAAGCAGGCUGCAUGGCGCUCCUGUGCAGCGGCAUACUGUUGUGCAGAACAACACAGCAGACUGUUGUGUGAAACAAUACAAACAUUUUUGUAUUAGUUGCAAUAACCUAUAGACUAUGCAAGUACGAAUUGUGCUUUUGUG